rnacentral:rRNA from 1 species
GACGAACGCUGGCGGCGUGCUUAACACAUGCAAGUCGAACGAUGAAGAAGAGAAACGCGAACUUCGGUUCAACUUUCACUUCGGAUUAGUGGCAGACGGGUGAGUAACGCGUGAGCAACCUACCUCUUACAAAGGGAUAGCCUCGGGAAACCGUGAUUAAUACCAUAUGACACAUUCAUAAGGCAUCUUAAGAAUGUUAAAGCUACGGCGGUAAGAGAUGGGCUCGCGUCCCAUUAGCUAGUUGGUGAGGUAACGGCCCACCAAGGCGACGAUGGGUAACCGGCCUGAGAGGGUGAACGGUCACAUUGGAACUGAGACACGGUCCAAACUCCUACGGGAGGCAGCAGUGGGGAAUAUUGCACAAUGGAGGGAAAUCUGAUGCAGCGACGCCGCGUGAGCGAUGAAGGAAUUCGUUUCGUAAAGCUCUGUUCUAUGGGAAGAAAAGGACUGUACCAUAGGAGAAAGCCCCGGCUAAAUACGUG